GAGUAAUCGAAAAAGCCGGAUAGUGGAUGAACAGUUCAGAGUUUGUGAAAACCUUAUGUGAAUUGUUCAUCUUCCUCACUGCGUGCUGGCAGCGUGUAAGAUGUGACUUAUAUUUCUUGCUUCCAUUUUAUAAACGUCCCCAUAGGAGCCAUAUAAGUGCUCAUCUGCAGCUGAAGAAUACAUCAUUACUCAAAAUAAUUCUCUCCCAGGAGCGUGUGGGUUACAGAACAGUAAAGACACCAAACAAUGCAGAGAGAAACCCACAUGAAUACCUCCUUUGGAAAGAAAGCUCCUUUGAAUAAGAUUGCCCUGGACAAUCUUUUGUUCUCCCGUCCUGAGUUGGCAGAGGUGGCGGCAGACGAGGGAGUGGUGGAACCAACCGUGUAUAAUCUUCUCAGGAGCUAAUGGG